UACGUAGGGUGCGAGCGUUAAUCGGAAUUACUGGGCGUAAAGCGCGCGUAGGUGGUUUGUUAAGUUGGAUGUGAAAUCCCCGGGCUCAACCUGGAUGGCGCUUGUGACUGCAAGCUAGAGUGACGGCGAGAGGGGGAUGGAAUUCGUGUGUAGCAGUGAAAUGCGUAGAUAUGACGGAGGAACACCGAUGGCGAAGGGCCAAUCCCCCUGGGGCCUGCACUGACGUCAUGCACGAAAGCGUGGGGGAGCAAACAGG
rnacentral:rRNA from 1 species